rnacentral:rRNA from 1 species
AGUGAACGCUGGCGGUAGGCCUAACACAUGCAAGUCGAACGGCAGCACAGUAAGAGCUUGCUCUUACGGGUGGCGAGUGGCGGUCGGGUGAGGAAUACAUCGGAAUCUACUUUUUCGUGGGGGAUAACGUAGGGAAACUUACGCUAAUACCGCAUACGACCUACGGGUGAAAGCAGAGGAUCUUCGGACCUUGCGCGAUUGAAUGAGCCGAUGUCGGAUUAGCUAGUUGGCGGGGUAAAGGCCCACCAAGGCGACGAUCCGUAGCUGGUCUGAGAGGAUGAUCAGCCACACUGGAACUGAGACACGGUCCAGACUCCUACGGGAGGCAGCAGUGGGGAAUAUUGGACAAAGGGCGCAAGCCUGAUCCAGCCAUACCGCGUGGGUGAAGAAGGCCUUCGGGUUGUAAAGCCCUUUUGUUGGGAAAGAAAAGCAGCAGGUUAAUACCCCGCUGUUCUGACGGUACCCAAAGAAUAAGCACCGGCUAACUUCGUG